GGACCUGACUGCUAUCGGAUUGAUACUAAGCCAUGCGAGUCAUCGUAGUAAUACAAGGCAGACGGCUCAGUAACGCGUAGUCAACCUACCCUAUGGACGGGGAUAACCUCGGGAAACUGAGAAUAAUACCCGAUAGAACAUUAUGCCUGGAAUGGUUUAUGUUUCAAAUAAUUUAUUGCCGUAGGAUGGGACUGCGGCCUAUCAGUUUGUUGGUGAAGUAAUGGCCCACCAAGACUAUUACAGGUACGGGCUCUGAGAGGAGUAGCCCGGAGAUGGGUACUGAGACACGGACCCAGGCCCUAUGGGGCGCAGCAGGCGAGAAAACUUUGCAAUGUGCGAAAGCACGACAAGGUUAAUCCGAGUGGUUUCUGCUAAAGGAACCUUUUGUCAGUCCUAGAAACACUGAUGAAUAAGGGGUGGGCAAGUUCUGGUGUCAGCC
rnacentral:rRNA from 1 species